GAUGAACGCUGGCGGCGUGCUUAAUACAUGCAAGUCGAACGGAAAGACGAUGCUUUUGCGGGGUGCACGAGAGGCGAAGGGGGGAGAAACACGUGUGUAAAAUGUACUUGUCAUUGGGAUAACACUUGGAAAAUGGGGCUAUUACAGGGUAGGAGCUACUGAAGCACGGGGGGGGUUGGAAAGUUCCGGCGGUUGUGGAUGGAUUCGAGGCUUAUGAGCUGGUUGGUGGAGUAGUGGCUGACCAAGGCUUUGAAGGGUAGCCGGCCUGAGCGGGUUACCGGCCACAAUGGUCCUGAGAUACGGAGCAGUCGCCUACCGUAGGCAGCAGGCGGGAAUAUUGCAGAACGGGCGCAAGCCUGAGGCAGCAAUCCCGCGUUCGGGAUGACGUCCUUCGGGUUGUAAACCACUUUCGCCUGUGACGAAGCGUGAGUGACGGUAAUUAGUAAAGAAGCACCGGCCAACUACGUG
rnacentral:rRNA from 1 species